rnacentral:rRNA from 1 species
UUGUUGGUAGGGUAACGGCCUACCAAGACUGUGAUCAAUAGCUGAUUUGAGAGGAUGAUCAGCCACAUUGGGACUGAGACACGGCCCAAACUCCUACGGGAGGCAGCAGUAAGGAAUCUUGCACAAUGGAGGAAACUCUGAUGCAGCGAUGCCGCGUGAGUGAAGAAGGCCUUUGGGUUGUAAAGCUCUUUCGUCGGGGAAGAAAAUGACUGUACCCGAAUAAGAAGGUCCGGCUAACUUCGUGCCAGCAGCCGCGGUAAUACGAAGGGACCUAGCGUAGUUCGGAAUUACUGGGCUUAAAGAGUUCGUAGGUGGUUAAAAAAGUUGGUGGUGAAAUCCCAGAGCUUAACUCUGGAACUGCCAUCAAAACUUUUUAGCUAGAGUAUGAUAGAGGAAAGCAGAAUUUCUAGUGUAGAGGUGAAAUUCGUAGAUAUUAGAAAGAAUACCAAUUGCGAAGGCAGCUUUCUGGAUCAUUACUGACACUGAGGAACGAAAGCAUGGGUAGCGAAGAGGAUUAGAUACCCUCGUAGUCCAUGCCGUAAACGAUGUGUGUUAGACGUUGGAAAUUUAUUUUCAGUGUCGCAGCGAAAGCGAUAAACACACCGCCUGGGGAGUACGACCGCAAGGUUAAAACUCAAAUGAAUUGACGGGGACCCGCACAAGUAGUGGAGCAUGUGGUUUAAUUCGAAGAUACGCGCAGAACCUUACCAACACUUGACAUGUUCGUCGCGACUUUAAGAGAUUAAAGUUUUCGGUUCGGCCGGACGAAACACAGGUGCUGCAUGGCUGUCGUCAGCUCGUGUCGUGAGAUGUUGGGUUAAGUCCCGCAACGAGCGCAACC